rnacentral:tRNA from 1 species
UAGAAUGGGGUGUAACGGGUAGCACGGAGAACUUUGGAUUCUCAGGUAUAGGUUCGAUUCCUAUUGUUCUAG